CGCUUGGAUGGAUAAUGGAUUUUUUUUUUUUUUUGAACUGUCCAUGGCACCUUCUCCUGGGGCAACUGAGAGCGAACUGACCAAUACAUUGGAUUAUUGAUGACAUCGUGGAUGAUUUCACAUGAAGCAGAACCAGGAAAAAAAUGCACUGCAUAAGAUUCUGGUCCACCCUAAAAUAAUCGAAUGCUCAGACCUGUAAAUUGAAACUGAACAGCGACUGCACAAACACAUGGCUCAACACAGAAGGGCCAACUCCUCAGGUCAAGACUCUACAUCUGAAGGAUAAACGACACUCGUUUGAGGACCACCAGGUGCACAUUUUAGACAGAGAGGAUGGAUGGUUCGAUAGAGGAGUGAAAGAGGUCAUCUACAUCAGAGUGGAGAAACCAUCUCGCAACAUGGGAGGAGGGCCGAGACACCACUUAUCUCCGACCUACAAUCCUUUCAUCUCUUCCCAGGAGACUGAACACUCACAUCUAAUAACUCCAAUAACUGUCGUUAAAACAGCCAGGAGCACUAACGAACCUUGAUAACGACCCCACAGAGAUUAAACAGCUGGGAUUCCCUGCCAGUCAGUUGUCAGGGAAAAUAAUUCCUUCCCAAAGAAUACGGAGUCAAAUAGAUGUGUUGAAUCAUUUCUUUAGGUAACGUGGCCACGGAGAGAACGCACGGUUACUCGAACUCAGCAUUUCCUCUCCUUAAGUACAGAACAAGUACAAAGCAAACAACAGCCAGCAAAUGGUAGAUGAAGGAUAAACAAAGAGUAUUAGCAUACACUCAAAAACUCUUCCUGAGCGAAGAAAGGAAAUGCAAAUGUACGUGGCAUCAGAUUUCUCUCACCUACAUGCCAGCAGAUGUUUAUUGUAAAUCAGACAACCUUUUGCUUAGGAAUAAAAACCCUGUGACCAAUG